rnacentral:rRNA from 1 species
UACGUAGGUGGCAAGCGUUGUCCGGAAUUACUGGGCGUAAAGCGUGCGUAGGUGGUUUGUUAAGUCUGUUGUGAAAGCCCCGGGCUCAACCUGGGAAUGGCAAUGGAUACUGGCAAGCUAGAGUGCGGUAGAGGGUAGUGGAAUUCCCGGUGGAGCGGUGAAAUGCGUAGAGAUCGGAAAGAACACCAACGGCGAAAGCACUCUGCUGGGCCGACACUGACACUGAGAGACGAAAGCUAGGGGAGCGAAUGGG